rnacentral:rRNA from 1 species
CCUACGGGAGGCAGCAGUGAGGAAUAUUGGUCAAUGGGCGCGAGCCUGAACCAGCCAAGUAGCGUGAAGGAUGACUGCCCUACGGGUUGUAAACUUCUUUUAUAAAGGAAUAAAGUGAGGCACGUGUGCCUUUUUGUAUGUACUUUAUGAAUAAGGAUCGGCUAACUCCGUGCCAGCAGCCGCGGUAAUACGUAGGGAGCGAGCGUUAUCCGGAUUUAUUGGGCGAAAAGGGUGCGUAGAGGGCAUAGAAAGUCAUUUGUAAAAAUGCUGGGCAAAACCGAGUAGUGCAAAAGAAACUGCAAGGCUAGAGUAUAACUGAGGCAAGUGGAACUACAGGUGUAGCGGUAAAAUGCUUAAAUAUAUGUAAGAACACCAGUGGCGAAGGCAGCUUGCUGAGUCGAGACUGACAUUGAGGCACGAAAGCGUGGGUAGCAAACAGGAUUAGAUACCCCUGUAGUC